GAUGAACGCUGGCGGCGUGCCUAAUACAUGCAAGUCGAGCGAACAGACGAGGAGCUUGCUCCUCUGACGUUAGCGGCGGACGGGUGAGUAACACGUGGAUAACCUACCUAUAAGACUGGGAUAACUUCGGGAAACCGGAGCUAAUACCGGAUAAUAUAUUGAACCGCAUGGUUCAAUAGUGAAAGACGGUUUUGCUGUCACUUAUAGAUGGAUCCGCGCCGCAUUAGCUAGUUGGUAAGGUAACGGCUUACCAAGGCAACGAUGCGUAGCCGACCUGAGAGGGUGAUCGGCCACACUGGAACUGAGACACGGUCCAGACUCCUACGGGAGGAAGCAGUAGGGAAUCUUCCGCAAUGGGCGAAGGCCUAACGGACCACCGCCGCGUGAGUGAUGAAGUUCUUCGGAUCGUAAAACUCUGUUAUUAGGGAAGAACAAAUGUGUAAGUAACUAUGCACGUCUUGACGGUACCUAAUCAGAAAGCCACGGCUAACUACGUG
rnacentral:rRNA from 1 species